AGCAGCCGCGGUAAUUCCAGCUCCAAUAGCGUAUAUUAAAGUUGUUGCAGUUAAAAAGCUCGUAGUUGAAUUUCGGGGUUAGUAGGUUGGUCAUGCCUCUGGUAUGUACUGGUCUCACUGAUUCCUCCUUCCUGAUGAGCCGUAAUGCCAUUAAUUUGGUGUUGCGGGGAAUUUGGACUGUUACUUUGAAAAAAUUAGAGUGUUUAAAGCAAGCUAACGCUUGAAUACAUUAGCAUGGAAUAAUAAAAUAGGACGUUCGAUCCUAUUUUGUUGGUUUCUAGGAUUGACGUAAUGAUUAAUAGGGAUAGUUGGGGGCAUUAGUAUUCAAUUGUCAGAGGUGAAAUUCUUGGACUUAUUGAAGACUAACUACUGCGAAAGCAUUUGCCAAGGAUGUUUUCAUUAAUCAAGAACGAAAGUUAGGGGAUCGAAGACGAUCAGAUACCGUCGUAGUCUUAACCAUAAACUAUGCCGACUAGGGAUCGGAUGAUGUUAAUUUUUUCAAUGACUCACUCGGCGCCUU
rnacentral:rRNA from 1 species